GUUUCUAGUGGCGGACGGGUGAGUAACGCGUGGGUAACCUGCCUUAUACAGGGGGAUAACAACCAGAAAUGGUUGCUAAUACCGCAUAAGCGCACAGGACCGCAUGGUCCGGUGUGAAAAACUCCGGUGGUAUAAGAUGGACCCGCGUUGGAUUAGCUAGUUGGCAGGGUAACGGCCUACCAAGGCGACGAUCCAUAGCCGGCCUGAGAGGGUGAACGGCCACAUUGGGACUGAGACACGGCCCAGACUCCUACGGGAGGCAGCAUG
rnacentral:rRNA from 1 species